ensembl:lncRNA
CAACUCAGCACGAUGGGUCGUUGUUUGUGAAUGGUGCUUUCAGAUGUGGGAAUGGAGACCAAACCCAUUUCUAACCUUUGAUAUCACCAUGGAGCUAAUUACAUAAUGGCGACAUUGAAAGAAGUGGAUCAUACAGCUGUGGAUGGAUCAGAAGAGCAGCUGCCAACACAGGAGGAAGCAGUUUGGGAGCAGACACCAGAGAGGAGACAUGUUGAUGUCCUUCUAGAUUUGAGUGAGGAGGACUUCAUGAAAGAGCUGGAGCCACACAAGUAUCACUGUUACUCUGGUUGGGAAGAAGCUGUUCAUGGUUGGGCCAGAGUUUCUCCACUGAGCUGCAUACUUUUGACUCAGAAGGGGGACAAGAAAUCAAAGCCGGCUGACAACCCGACUGCCUUGCCUGCUGACCCAACACUCCCCGAUGCGAACGGCUCGACCAGCAUGGCAGAGCACCGCUGUGAGUCUCGUGUGGGCCUACAGAACAACUUGAAGAAAUCCAUCCCAUUAAACCAGCAUACACGAUCGGUGGCAGCUAUGCAGAAAGAUGGUUCAGAAUGGUCUGUCCUGAAUUCAAUGCAGAAAACCACUUCAAAACCUCUACUCAGAGAAAAGCUAGAGAAGGAAGGGACGUGUUUGCAGCCUCACCAUCUCCCCUCAAGAUACUCGGCCAACAGAGCCACUCAGACUCAGAAACACAGGUGUACGGUGGUUCCUAUUCAAAACUUCACCUUUUUACCACCAAUUAUAUCGCCAUCCCUGAAUCCUCAGAGAGUCGGUGGCCAGCUCUGCAGUGGCAAGAAGGCUCAAGAAGGAGAAACCACAGAGGAAAACAAUUUCAUCUUCGAUGCGAAGAGCGGGACCAGAGGAUCUAGAGUGGACCAUAUUGCCAACCCAGAGCUGCCCACUUACUCUGCAGUCCUGACCUCCAAGUACUGGACGUGUCCGCACAACCCCCACUUGUUCUCUGCUGUGAGUGUUUCUAUACCCGAGAGGUAUCAUGUACCUGUGUCUUCCAAACCUGACACAGUGCACCGCACAAGCUACUCAGCGGCCAGGAGCCUCACGCAGGCCCUCCUCUCCAGCACUGCCUCAGGCGCCCAUUUGUACCCAAGCAAGACUGUGUGUUUGUAGUAUGCAAUCAUUUGAACUUCUCCGGUUCAACAAAGUAAAAACAACCUGUUUUAUCUUUGUUUUUAAUCGCGAAUGCCUCAGACUCACCACAUUUUACAAUGUAUCCAUUAAAUUAGUUGAAGGAAUAAAUCAAGGCAUGAGACAUGUUCAGAGUAACUAACCGCUAAAGAGGUCAUUUCUUUAGUUUGGCAUAUUUCAGAACAUACUAACCAUAACAGUUAAGUGAACAGAUCAUUGCAUGUGAAGCUAUAGUGUCCUUUGCGCCUUUGUUUUUUCUGACCAGUUCCCACAAGUGCUUUUUCAACUGUUCUAGUUACCUAGCAACAGGGCAGCUACCUCAUAAGAAACAUGACAGUGCGCCUGCCUCACACUUUCUACCAUUUAAACCACAGCCCCGAGCUACAGAGCUGCAAGAACGUACGUGUUGCAUUGUAGCCUGUGACUCUACGUGAUAAUGGCAUAAACUGUUGCCAAACUACUGCUUCUGCUCUGUCAAAUGUUAUUGUAUCCAACUUAAUAAAGUAGGUGAUUCCUGAUGAUUGUGAGGGUUCUCUGAUAUCCAAUGUACAAGGCUAUCAGAGCAACAUUAUGCCGAGAUCCUGAAUACUGUUUGUCAUGUUGGUCUCUAAAGGCCAGCUAACAUUAUUUACAACUGGUACAUUGCUUUGUUUACAUUAGGAUGAUCUUGUUACAUUGCUUUAUUUUUUAUUUUUUUAUACCUCUGUUGUUGAGCUGCCCUUAUUAAAUGAUCUGUUUAGUGGGAUUGUUCUAUAUUUAAAAGAGCUGUGUGACGGUAAAAAUAUGUGUUGUUUUGUGAACUGGUUCAAGGGCAGAGCAAUAGGGAGGAUGGGGAGGAGGACAGAUGGCCAUAUGCCUUAUCGAAAACCAAUACACUCUGUUCUUUGUUCUUCUCAAUUCUUAUCCAAGACAUUCACACGGUUUCUUCGUUUGUCGUCAUAGUGGGCCCUGGAGGGGGGUGCAUGUGCUUGUAUAAAUCACGAUGUAAUACAAUGUAUGAAUCAAGAGAUUUCGGCAG